GGGGAGGCACUAUUACCCGUGGCUGGAGAGGCCAGUUCUGUCGUUGGCAGCUUAACCCUGGAAUGUAUCAGCACCGGACAGUCAUCGCUGACCAAAUGAGGACACUAAGAUCCAGAGAGGUUUAGUAACAUGCGCAAGGUCACAAGUUCACAGUGUGCCUGCGUCGGGAAGGGCAGACUGUGUACCAGCAAGUCCUGUCCCUGGAGCGCCCAAGUGUCCUCCGCAGCUGGAACUGGGGCCUGUGUGGGUACUUUGCUUUCUACCAUGCCCUCUAUCCCCGAGCCUGGACUGUCUAUCAGCUUCCUGGCCAGAAUGUCACCCUCACCUGCCGUCAGAUCACACCCAUCUUGCCCCAUGACUACCAGGUGAGGCCCCCACAUCUGUAUCUUCCAUUGCCCUCCCUUCCCCAGGACCUGCCUCUGCUAGAAACUGCAUGGCCUGCCAGGCGCGGUAGCUCACGCCUGUAAUCCCAACACUUUGGGAGGCCGAGGCAGGCGGAUCACGAGAUCAGGAGAUCGAGACCAUCCUGGCUAACACGUGAAACCCCAUAUCUACUAAAAAUACAAAAAAAAAAUUAGCUGGGCGUUGUGGCAGGCACCUGUAGUCCCAGCUACUCGGGAGGCUGAGGCAGGAUAAUGGUAUGAACCCGGGAGGCGGAGCUUGCAGUGAGCCGAGAUCGCGCCACCGCACCCCCCCAAAAAAAAAAAAAAAGAAACU
rnacentral:sRNA from 1 species